UACGGAGGGGGCUAGCGUUGUUCGGAAUUACUGGGCGUAAAGCGCGCGUAGGCGGACCUGCAAGUCGGGGGUGAAAGCCCGAGGCUCAACCUCGGAACUGCCUUCGAUACUGGGGGUCUCGAGUCCGGGAGAGGUGAGUGGAACUGCGAGUGUAGAGGUGAAAUUCGUAGAUAUUCGCAAGAACACCAGUGGCGAAGGCGGCUCACUGGCCCGGUACUGACGCUGAGGUGCGAAAGCGUGGGGAGCAAACAGG
rnacentral:rRNA from 1 species